AACGAACGCUGGCGGCAUGCCUAACACAUGCAAGUCGAACGAGACCUUCGGGUCUAGUGGCGCACGGGUGCGUAACGCGUGGGAACCUGCCCUUAGGUUCGGAAUAACUCCCCGAAAGGGGUGCUAAUACCGGAUAAUGUCUUCGGACCAAAGAUUUAUCGCCUUUGGAUGGGCCCGCGUUGGAUUAGCUAGUUGGUAGGGUAAAAGCCUACCAAGGCGACGAUCCAUAGCUGGUCUGAGAGGAUGAUCAGCCACACUGGGACUGAGACACGGCCCAGACUCCUACGGGGGGCAGCAGUGGGGAAUAUUGGACAAUGGGCGAAAGCCUGAUCCAGCAAUGCCGCGUGAGUGAUGAAGGUCUUAGGGUUGUAAAGCUCUUUUACCCGGGAUGAUAAUGACAGUACCGGGAGAAUAAGCUCCGGCUAACUCCGUG
rnacentral:rRNA from 1 species